AACCAGCACAGACUGGCGUGCCCCAGGGAUCUCUGGGCAAGUAUCUCUUUUGGCGCUUCACUCUCGAGCAAGACUAGGAGG
rnacentral:pre_miRNA from 1 species